GGUCUUGUAGUCUAGGGGUUAGGACAGUGGAUUUUGAUUCCAUUGACCCCGGUUCGAAUCCGGGCAAGACCU
rnacentral:tRNA from 1 species